CCCUUAGAUGUUCUGGGCCGCACGCGCGCUACACUGAUGCAUUCAACGAGUCUAAAACCUGCUCUGAUAGGGGUGGGUAAUCUUUUGAAUGUGCAUCGUGAUUGGGAUAGAUGAUUGCAAUUUUUCAUCUUCAACGAGGAAUGCCUAGUAAACGCAAGUCAUCAGCUUGCAUUGAUUACGUCCCUGCCCUUUGUACACACCGCCCGUCGCUCCUACCGAUUGAAUGAUCCGAUGAAUAUCAUGGAUGGAGGAUGCAAGCAGGUUCGCCUGUCUUCAUCUUCGAGAAGUGAAGUAAAUCUUAUCAUUUAGAGGAAGGAGAAGUCGUAACA
rnacentral:rRNA from 1 species